rnacentral:rRNA from 1 species
CGAACCUCUGGUGUGCCAGUUGUACCGCCAGGUGCACGGCUGGUUGGCUACGUUCGGAAGUGAUAACCGCUGAAAGCAUCUAAGCGGGAAGCACGUUUCAAGAUGAGGUUUCCCACCCGCCAUGGGUUAAGGCCCCCAGCAGACCACUGGGUUGAUAGGCCAGAAGUAGAAGCACAGCAAUGUGUGGAGCUGACUGGUACUAAUAGGCCGAGGGCUUGUCACCCAA